UACAGAGGGGGCAAGCGUUGUUCGGAUUUACUGGGCGUAAAGGGCGUGUAGGCGGCGCAACAAGUCACUUGUGAAAUCUCCGGGCUUAACCCGGAGCGGUCAAGUGAUACUGUCGUGCUAGAGUGCGGAAGGGGCUACUGGAAUUCUCGGUGUAGCGGUGAAAUGCGUAGAUAUCGAGAGGGAACACCUGCGGCGAAGGCGGGUAGCUGGGCCGACACUGACGCUCAGGCACGAAAGCGUGGGGGAGCAAACAGG
rnacentral:rRNA from 1 species